ACACGGACCAAGGAGUGCAACAUGCGUGCGAGUCCGCGGGUGGCAAACCCGUCGGCGCAAUGAAAGUGAAGGCAGGCGUCUGGCCUGCUGUGGCGAGAGCCUCCCUCGUCGGGGGCGCAUCGUCGACCGAUCCCAGGCUACGCUGUGGCGGGAUUUGAGUGAGAGCGUGCCUGUUGCGACCCGAAAGAUGGUGAACUAUGCCUGAAUAGGGUGAAGCCAGAGGAAACUCUGGUGGAAGCUCGCAGCGAUUCUGACGUGCAAAUCGAUCGUCAAAUUUGGGUAUAGGGGCGAAAGACUAAUCGAACCAUCUAGUAGCUGGUUCCCUCCGAAGUUUCCCUCAGGAUAGCUGGAGCCCGGUGCAGUUUUAUCAGGUAAAGCGAAUGAUUAGAGGUCUUGGGGCUGAAACAGCCUCAACCUAUUCUCAAACUUUAAAUGGGUAAGAAGCCUGGCUUGCUCGGUUGAAGUCAGGCGCAGAAUGCCGGGGCUCCCAGUGGGCCAUUUUUGGUAAGCAGAACUGGCGAUGUGGGAUGAACCAAAUGCCGGGUUAAGGUGCCUGAAUCGACGCUCAUCAGAUCCCAUGAAAGGUGUUGGUUGAUACUGACAGCAGGACGGUGGCCAUGGAAGUCGGAAUCCGCUAAGGAGUGUGUAACAACU
rnacentral:rRNA from 1 species